rnacentral:snRNA from 1 species
GUGUAGGUCUUUGCAUACU